AGGCGAAGCGCCGGAUCCGGCAUGGAGAGGGCGGGGCUGCUCAGGCCAUUCCCCCCGAGGGCGCGGGCCACGGCCAGGAUCACCAUGGUCUCGAGGUAGCCGCCGUCCGCAUCCGCAACCGUCGCUAAUUGCUAGUGCUUCGAAAGUCAAAUCCUCUGCAGCUUCGCGACGGAGCUGCUCGAGAUAAGGUCCAAGGAGCCGUCGCCGUCGCUCCACAUGCUGGUCGUCCCUGGCAAUCUAGGUAGGUGACCGCCGCCGGCGCGCUAUAAGUGAUCAUUUGUUGAGGUGCUGAUGCGUGAAGAAGGAUCGGUCAGUCAGGGGCUUAAUGUUGCUCUGAUGUGUCUGUGUGGCACGUAUUGUUGGAUUCUACAAGGACUUUGUCAAAGCCCUCUACGAAGACCUCGGUGGGCAGGCAUCUGUUACGGGUUGAUUCAUAUCGUCAUGUUGAAAUCGACAAGGGACGGUUACAUCAAUCAUUUAUAUUUAUGGAAGACAGUUCACUGAUAACUAGCUUGGAUCAUACCUCCAGAACGUGUAAUGUUUUUGUAGGGUGACAAGUUGUCGCAUCUCGAGCAUGUUUCAUAGGAGAGUGGAAUGAAGUUCAUUGUACUGUUCGGAUAGUAGCAGAUGUGCCAUUGUUCUAUUGUGCAAUUCUGUCUGUUCUUGCUAUAUUUCAGUGUAAAGAAAUGUAUUCAUGAGAUGAGUUAUUGUGUUAUGUAAACAUGAAAGAUGUAUUAUGUGAUGUUAUAUGA